UACGAAGGGGGCUAGCGUUGCUCGGAAUCACUGGGCGUAAAGCGCACGUAGGCGGAUUUUUAAGUCAGGGGUGAAAUCCUGGAGCUCAACUCCAGAACUGCCUUUGAUACUGGCGAGCUUGAGUCCGGGAGAGGUGAGUGGAACUGCGAGUGUAGAGGUGAAAUUCGUAGAUAUUCGCAAGAACACCAGUGGCGAAGGCGGCUCACUGGCCCGGUACUGACGCUGAGGUGCGAAAGCGUGGGGAGCAAACAGG
rnacentral:rRNA from 1 species